rnacentral:rRNA from 1 species
UACAGAGGGUGCGAGCGUUAAUCGGAAUUACUGGGCGUAAAGCGCACGUAGGCGGCUUGGUAUGUCGGGUGUGAAAUCCCCGGGCUCAACCUGGGAACUGCAUCCGAAACUGCCUUGCUCGAGUAUGGGAGAGGGAAGUGGAAUUUCCGGUGUAGCGGUGAAAUGCGUAGAUAUCGGAAGGAACAUCAGUUGCGAAGGCGACUUCCUGGACCAAUACUGACGCUCAGGUGCGAAAGCGUGGGGAGCAAACAGG